GACGAACGCUGGCGGCGUGCUUAACACAUGCAAGUCGAACGGAAAGGCCCUGCUUUUGUGGGGUGCUCGAGUGGCGAACGGGUGAGUAACACGUGAGUAACCUGCCCUUGACUUUGGGAUAACUUCAGGAAACUGGGGCUAAUACCGGAUAGGAGCUCCUGCUGCAUGGUGGGGGUUGGAAAGUUUCGGCGGUUGGGGAUGGACUCGCGGCUUAUCAGCUUGUUGGUGGGGUAGUGGCUUACCAAGGCUUUGACGGGUAGCCGGCCUGAGAGGGUGACCGGCCACAUUGGGACUGAGAUACGGCCCAGACUCCUACGGGAGGCAGCAGUGGGGAAUAUUGCACAAUGGGCGGAAGCCUGAUGCAGCAACGCCGCGUGCGGGAUGACGGCCUUCGGGUUGUAAACCGCUUUCGCCUGUGACGAAGCGUGAGUGACGGUAAUGGGUAAAGAAGCACCGGCUAACUACGUGCCAGCAGCCGCGGUGAUACGUAGGGUGCGAGCGUUGUCCGGAUUUAUUGGGCGUAAAGGGCUCGUAGGUGGUUGAUCGCGUCGGAAGUGUAAUCUUGGGGCUUAACCCUGAGCGUGCUUUCGAUACGGGUUGACUUGAGGAAGGUAGGGGAGAAUGGAAUUCCUGGUGGAGCGGUGGAAUGCGCAGAUAUCAGGAGGAACACCAGUGGCGAAGGCGGUUCUCUGGGCCUUUCCUGACGCUGAGGAGCGAAAGCGUGGGGAGCGAACAGGCUUAGAUACCCUGGUAGUCCACGCUGUAAACGGUGGGUACUAGGUGUGGGGUCCAUUCCACGGGUUCCGUGCCGUAGCUAACGCUUUAAGUACCCCGCCUGGGGAGUACGGCCGCAAGGCUAAAACUCAAAGGAAUUGACGGGGCCCCGCACAAGCGGCGGAGCAUGCGGAUUAAUUCGAUGCAACGCGUAGAACCUUACCUGGGUUUGACAUGGAUCGGGAGUGCUCAGAGAUGGGUGUGCCUCUUUUGGGGUCGGUUCACAGGUGGUGCAUGGCUGUCGUCAGCUCGUGUCGUGAGAUGUUGGGUUAAGUCCCGCAACGAGCGCAACCCUUGUUCACUGUUGCCAGCACGUUAUGGUGGGGACUCAGUGGAGACCGCCGGGGACAACUCGGAGGAAGGUGGGGAUGACGUCAAGUCAUCAUGCCCCUUAUGUCCAGGGCUUCACGCAUGCUACAAUGGCUGGUACAGAGAGUGGCGAGCCUGUGAGGGUGAGCGAAUCUCGGAAAGCCGGUCUCAGUUCGGAUUGGGGUCUGCAACUCGACCUCAUGAAGUCGGAGUCGCUAGUAAUCGCAGAUCAGCAACGCUGCGGUGAAUACGUUCCCGGGGC
rnacentral:rRNA from 1 species